rnacentral:snoRNA from 1 species
CCUGCAUCCUUAACCCUACAAAACAAUGCUUUAAAAAAAAAAUUCCUCUCCCCGGGCUCUGUCCUAGUGGCUGGUAUGGAGUAUAGGGCACCUGCUGCCCACUGAUGUACGGCCCCUUUCCACAGUGCUGGAGCUGGAGCUGGGCUUGAGUCUGGGCCUGUAUAUUCCUACAACUUCUCAUAGUCCCAUAGGCAAUGACUGAAGAGACAAACCAUGCAGGAAACAGUC